AAAUUGAAGAGUUUGAUCAUGGCUCAGAUUGAACGCUGGCGGCAGGCCUAACACAUGCAAGUCGAGCGGAAACGAGUUGUCAGAACCUUCGGGGGACGAUAACGGCGUCGAGCGGCGGACGGGUGAGUAAUGCCUAGGAAAUUGCCCUGAUGUGGGGGAUAACCAUUGGAAACGAUGGCUAAUACCGCAUGAUGCCUACGGGCCAAAGAGGGGGACCUUCGGGCCUCUCGCGUCAGGAUAUGCCUAGGUGGGAUUAGCUAGUUGGUGAGGUAAGGGCUCACCAAGGCGACGAUCCCUAGCUGGUCUGAGAGGAUGAUCAGCCACACUGGAACUGAGACACGGUCCAGACUCCUACGGGAGGCAGCAGUGGGGAAUAUUGCACAAUGGGCGCAAGCCUGAUGCAGCCAUGCCGCGUGUGUGAAGAAGGCCUUCGGGUUGUAAAGCACUUUCAGUCGUGAGGAAGGUAGUGUAGUUAAUAGCUGCAUUAUUUGACGUUAGCGACAGAAGAAGCACCGGCUAACUCCGUGCCAGCAGCCGCGGUAAUACGGAGGGUGCGAGCGUUAAUCGGAAUUACUGGGCGUAAAGCGCAUGCAGGUGGUUUGUUAAGUCAGAUGUGAAAGCCCGGGGCUCAACCUCGGAAUUGCAUUUGAAACUGGCAGACUAGAGUACUGUAGAGGGGGGUAGAAUUUCAGGUGUAGCGGUGAAAUGCGUAGAGAUCUGAAGGAAUACCGGUGGCGAAGGCGGCCCCCUGGACAGAUACUGACACUCAGAUGCGAAAGCGUGGGGAGCAAACAGGAUUAGAUACCCUGGUAGUCCACGCCGUAAACGAUGUCUACUUGGAGGUUGUGGCCUUGAGCCGUGGCUUUCGGAGCUAACGCGUUAAGUAGACCGCCUGGGGAGUACGGUCGCAAGAUUAAAACUCAAAUGAAUUGACGGGGGCCCGCACAAGCGGUGGAGCAUG
rnacentral:rRNA from 1 species